rnacentral:rRNA from 1 species
GUGCCAGCAGCCGCGGUAAUACGGAGGGUGCAAGCGUUGUCCGGAUUUAUUGGGUUUAAAGGGUGCGUAGGUGGCUUAUUAAGUCAGUGUUUAAAGUCUUCAGCUUAACUGGAGGUAUGGCAUUGAUACUGAUAGGCUUGAGUAAAGUUGAGGUAGGCGGAAUUGAAGGUGUAGCGGUGAAAUGCAUAGAUAUCUUCAAGAACACCGAUUGCGAAGGCAGCUUACUAAGCUUUAACUGACACUGAGGCACGAAAGCGUGGGGAUCAAACAGGAUUAGAUACCCUGGUAGUCC